CACGUAGUUAGCCGGUGCUUCUUAUUCCGGUACCGUCAUCCACACAGGGUAUUAACCUAUGCGAUUUCUUUCCGGCCGAAAGAGCUUUACAACCCGAAGGCCUUCUUCACUCACGCGGCAUGGCUGGAUCAGGGUUGCCCCCAUUGUCCAAAAUUCCCCACUGCUGCCUCCCGUAGGAGUCUGGACCGUGUCUCAGUUCCAGUGUGGCGGAUCAUCCUCUCAGACCCGCUACAGAUCGUCGCCUUGGUAGGCCUUUACCCCACCAACUAGCUAAUCUGAUAUCGGCCGCUCAAUCAGCGCAAGGUCUUGCGAUCCCCUGCUUUCCUGCUCACAGAAUAUGCGGUAUUAGCGUAACUUUCGCUACGUUAUCCCCCACUGAAAGGUACGUUCCGAUACUUUACUCACCCGUUCGCCACUCGCCGGCGGACCGAAGUCCCCGCUCGCCGUUCGACUUGCAUGUGUAAGGCAUGCCGCCAGCGUUCAAUCUGACGCCAGGAUCAAACUCUA
rnacentral:rRNA from 1 species